GUGAUUUUCAAAUCGAUUUUUAAUCUCCCGCUCCAUCGCAAACGGGAUCAGAGCGGCCGCUCCGUUAAAACACUGGAACGGAAACAUCAUAUCCGUUCAUCACCAGCUGAUCUGCAUCAAGGCUUCAACGCGGAAUGUAAAACAUCGCUACUCGAUGAUCAAGUGGUGCAACGACAACCUGUGACCGUGACCGAUCCUUAACUGCACUUCAGCGCCGCGCUCGCCCUCCGGCCGGUGAAUGGGAGGCUGAGAUUCACAGAGGACGCGCGCGAAGCCGCACGAGCACGGCGGCAGUAAAAGCCGACGGAGAUCCUGUCUCGGGUUGGAGCCGAGGGACACGCGCACGAACGGGGAUCCGGCUACGGAGUCAGAGGUCGGCGGAUUUCACGGCGAAGCGAGUUCAGUUGGCGAAGGCGACCGAGUGGAGCGACGCUGAGCGGCGAAUUACCAUUUAUUAAGCGGAGGAAUGAGGCCGUGCGUUUCAAAGACUCGGGGUCAAUUUAGUCUUUAUUAAUCCCUUCGAAUAAUGAAUAUUCAAAUGUGUAAAUGACAUUCACAUUAAAUGUGUGGCAAAUCAGAAUGCUUUGUCCACACUGAAGCUUUAUUGCUCAGUCUGUCUAUAAAUACCUCCACCACCGUCGCUGUGCUUUCAACCUGUCCAAUUAAAUCUUACAGUUACAGCAGCGAGGACUGAAACUUACCCCAGACGUCUUGGAUUUUAUAGCGAUCAGGUGUUUUGUAUGAAUCCACUGUUCCAAGUCAUUCAUACAGUACACAGUUAUCUCAGUCUGCCGUCUGCAGUGUCACGUGCCCCCGUGUUGGAGUUUGGCAUGUUUGUGUGAGUGUUACUGUAAAUGCACAGUUCAGCAGGAGGUGUUGAUGAAGUCGCAUCCAUUUCUCUUUUAUUAUUGUUCCCGUUUCCGUGCCCCACAUUCCCCGGUUCUUCUUCUCACCUGCAUCUAAUCCUCGAUCCAGGUUUGCUAAUAUGCACUUAACUUAAUCUGCAGGCAGUGUGUAAACGAAUUGAAGCCAUUAUCACUAAGUGCUUUGACAACAUGGACGUGCAAAUUCUGGACCAAAUCAAUUACGUCCGUCAU